UCACCUUUCUAAAGUUAUUAUACUUAUCUGCUUUUAUUUCCCUAAAUCAUCAAAGAUUUCAACCAACAUUAAGACUGCUUUCCUAUUUGCCAGGACAAUUCUUACUCAUUCCAUUUCUAUGUCAUAUAUUGUUGACACUGUGAAGAAAACUUCUAAAAUUCCAGUUGGAUAGUCCUGUGGGAAGUCUUAUUAUUGACACUUACUAUAAUUAGCAUACAAGCUUUUGGGCUUCUUUCUAAUUAAACUGGGCAUUUUGCUAUUUAUAAGAAUAGUAGUAGUGGUAGCAAUAAUAAAGAUAAUUAUGAAAGUGGCUAUGUUCCUCAGCCUUGUCUCAUUGUUUACUCAACCUAAAUUCUCUUUAAACUAAUUACUAAAGUAUUUUUAUAAUUCACUAGAAUAACAUUUUGUUUUUGAUAAGUAAAUAUUUUAUUGAAGCAAUAGCUGUGCAACAAAGCACCUUAUUCAUGACAUGCACAAGAAUUUCAGAUGUCAACAAGCCCCCUUUCUCUAGACCUAGAUAAUCACUUUUUAUAGGUUUCUGUUCAAUUCAUUGCAACAAAUUCCAUUGAUUGUCUAAAGUGUUUCCAGUUGAUGGUGUUUAAGUGUACUUCAUUUAUUUGUAAUUCAUGCAUGUCUGGAAUGUGAAUCAACAUUUUAGCACAACAUGAAUUUUUAUAGCUUGUGUGUAGUGCUGGCAUUUGCAUUUCUUUUACUGCUUAGUUUAAGUUGAUUUUAUGUCUAAGUUUGGUGAGUGUUUGAAUUGUUUACACUUGACUGCUGAGAUUCUUAUGGUAUGUAUGUCUGUACCGUGAUGUAGCCAUUUUGUGAAGGCAAUGAACUGCUCUUCUACUUCUGGCUUUAACAUACCAACCUAGCAACCCUUGCAUACAUUUUAAGAAUUUUCUUCAGUUAUUCCAGAUUUUCUUCUCUGUAUCAUUGCAAUGAGGAGCAAAUCCCAUAUUUUCUUCAGUGUUCUCUUGUUAAUACUGACACAGUUGUGUGUGUGUGGUGGCAUUAUGAUAUGUCUCUUUGUGCUGUUUAAAUCAAGGUUUAAUUCCUUGUAGAAUGAUCUUAUCAUCCAAUCUUGCUUAUCAGUUAAUAUACUAUUCUUUUAGUUU